AAUUUCAGUAUAAAUGGCGCACUAUUCUAGUCAAUAGCCAUAUUAUGAAGACGGGAAUAAAUCACCGUUAAAGAGCAUAUCUGUGAAACCUUUGGUGUUUGCUUCAUACGCCCAGUGUGGGGUGAAUGCUGAAGAUGAGUGGUUAUUGGGCGAUCGUAAUGGCAUACGGCAACCGACCCAAUUUCCUUGGAGACCAAAUUAUGUGAUAGGCCUAUACGUGCAUCUACUGACGGACCUGUUACGAAUUUGGCUUGAACCUGUAUUGUGGCGAAAGUUAUGUACAGUGUAGCUUGUCUUGAGUGGAAUCAUUGGGAUAAGUGAUCUUUAAUAAUUUAAUUGGCCAAUUAUUUUAUUAUUGCACUUUGAAAUUUUUUCUGCAAAAAAGAAUUAAUAAUAUGGCGUGGUGAGGAAAUCUCCUAGAGUGUUGAAUAUGGGAUUGCAGUGGAUACUAAGUGGUAAUCAAGUCAUAUGUUUGGAAACAGCAUAUUGAUUUCUUUAAUGGGGAACCACAUAUUUGGUAACGAAUAUGUUGAAAUCAGGGAAAUCCUACUUGACCUAAGGUUCAAAGUUUACUAUAUUCAUGCCAUUUUUUAAUUUA
rnacentral:sRNA from 1 species